rnacentral:rRNA from 1 species
AGUUUAUCCUGGCUCAGGACGAACGCUGGCGGCGUGCCUAAUGCAUGCAAGUCGCACGCACCCGCUUCGGCGGGUGAGUGGCGCACGGCUGAGUAACACGUGGGAACCCGCCCCCCGGUGGGGGAUAACGCGACGAAAGUUGCGCUAAUCCCGCAUACGUCCCCAGGGAGAAAGCGCAGUGCGCGCCGGGGGAGGGGCCUGCGGCCCAUCAGGUCGUUGGUGGGGUAAGGGCCUACCAAGCCGAUGACGGGUAGCUGGUCUGGGAGGAUGACCAGCCAGACUGGGACUGAGACACGGCCCAGACUCCUACGGGAGGCAGCAGCAAGGAAUUUUCGGCAAUGGGCGCAAGCCUGACCGAGCAACGCCGCGUGCGAGAUGACGGCCUUCGGGUUGUAAACCGCUUUUCGGGGGGACGAUGAUGACGGUACCCCCGGAACAAGCCCCGGCUAACUCUGUGCCAGCAGCCGCGGUAAGACAGAGGGGGCGAGCGUUGUCCGGAGUCACUGGGCGUAAAGCGCGCGCAGGCGGCAACCUAAGUGUCGUGUGAAAGCCCCCGGCUCAACCGGGGGAGGCCAUGGCAAACUGGGUCGCUCGAGCUGCGGAGAGGCCCCUCGAAUUGCCGGUGUAGCGGUGAAAUGCGUAGAGAUCGGCAGGAAGACCAAGGGGGAAGCCAGGGGGCUGGCCGCANGCUGACGCUGAGGCGCGACAGCGUGGGGAGCAAACCGGAUUAGAUACCCGGGUAGUCCACGCCGUAAACGAUGACCACUCGGCGUGUGGCGACUAUUGACGUCGCGGCGCGCCCUAGCUCACGCGAUAAGUGGUCCGCCUGGGAACUACGAGCGCAAGCUUAAAACUCAAAGGAAUUGA